GGUUGGGUUGAGACACAUUCAGUAGCUGAGUGAUUGACAGCAAGAGGAGCAAGACAUGAGGUUAAUAAUUAUCAAAUAUAUGGCAAUGCUGGACUUUAGCUGAUCAUCGUGCUUCUGGAAAACAACAAAAAUUGAGAUAUCUGUUCACCACUUUGUGUGUCCAAGGACCACCUACUUUUUACAUGUGACAAGAACUACCCACCUCCACUCUUCAGGAUAGAACAUGCUGAAGAAAAGAGUUGCAAUGAGAAAAUAUAUGGGAACAAAAUACCUAUGCAAUGCAGAAGUCUGCAUAACUGAACCACUCAGAGGAAAAAGAUUGCCAUUUCAGGACACCUCCUACAUCUGAGGAAAUAUGCAUUGAUCUUGCAGUACUUUUCUCCUCCAAAUAAAAGUCAGUAUGAUAACAA
rnacentral:lncRNA from 1 species